rnacentral:tRNA from 1 species
GAAAUAUGAGAUUCAAGACAAAGCUUCUAACUUUAAUCUUUAGCGGCGAAACUCCGUUUAUAUUUCU